rnacentral:rRNA from 1 species
UGGGGAAUUUUGGACAAUGGGGGAAACCCUGAUCCAGCCAUCCCGCGUGUGCGAUGAAGGCCUUCGGGUUGUAAAGCACUUUUGGCAGGAAAGAAACGUCGCGGGUUAAUACCCCGCGAAACUGACGGUACCUGCAGAAUAAGCACCGGCUAACUACGUGCCAGCAGCCGCGGUAAUACGUAGGGUGCAAGCGUUAAUCGGAAUUACUGGGCGUAAAGCGCGCGCAGGCGGUUCGGAAAGAAAGAUGUGAAAUCCCAGAGCUUAACUUUGGAACUGCAUUUUUAACUACCGGGCUAGAGUGUGUCAGAGGGAGGUGGAAUUCCGCGUGUAGCAGUGAAAUGCGUAGAUAUGCGGAGGAACACCGAUGGCGAAGGCAGCCUCCUGGGAUAACACUGACGCUCAUGCACGAAAGCGUGGGGAGCAAACAGGAUUAGAUACCCUGGUAGUCCACGCCCUAAACGAUGUCAACUAGCUGUUGGGGGCCUUCGGGCCUUGGUAGCGCAGCUAACGCGUGAAGUUGACCGCCUGGGGAGUACGGUCGCAAGAUUAAAACUU